CUCAGUACUAAUUCACUACAUUUAAAAAUGUUGAUGAGCCUCAGGAUUAAGACAGAUAACAUGACAGAUAGAAGGGAUAUUUAUGGUAUCUAGAUUAACCAUUGCAUGCUCUCUGGAAAGACAGUGGUGAAGAAAGUCUUUCCCCAGUUUCUGAUUUUUAGAUCAUUGGAAAUUUAGCUAAGGACAGCUGUCUGUGGGAGAACAUUCCAGAGAGAAGAGCAGAAAAAGCAGUAAAAGGGACACAGUAAACUGAUCUUUCAGCAUACGAGUAUGCUUUCUUGCAUCUAGGGAUACCCAAGUCACAGCAGUGAUGAAAAGAAGAAAAUGAUCCAAAGCACCGAAAGACAACUGAGUGACUUUUCUAUUCACAAAUUGAUAGACUGAGAAGAAGGAAGGAAUAAAAGAUCUGUCUUGUGAAAUUGAAGAGAGGCUGAAUAGUCCCAUGUCUCCCAGCCUUUCCUCAUAUGGAAGAUAUUUCAGGCCUCUAAAAAAACUAAGGUAAGGAAAGAAUGGCUUUUGAGAUGGAAAAACAACAACAAAAAGAAAAGGAAAAGGAAAAGAAAAAGGAAAAGGAAAAGAAAAAGAAAAAGAAAAAGAAAAAGAAAAAGAAAAAGAAAAAGAAAAAGAAAAAGAAAAAGAAAAAGAAAAAGAAAAAGAAAAAGAAAAGAAAAAGAAAAAGAAAAAGAAAAAAAAAACAGUCUUUCCCUCAUAAAGUAUUUCAGUUUCCAUAAAUGAAUAUACAUCAGAUGUGUGGAGGUGGGAGGUGGAGGAGGAAGAUUCUUUCAAAACCAUGCUUUAUCUUCCACAGCUUCCAAGGAACAGAUGCAGUAUUUAGUGAAAGGGCACCACAGGUGACCCCUCCUGCUGUGUCAGCCAAAGCAAGAGAAGCCUCUGUCUCUGUCAUGUCACCUGAUGAGUAGGAAGUAUGCAAGCUGAACUCCCAACAAGAUAGAUACUUUCUGUCCUGCUGCUUGUUUUAUGGAAUUUGCUCAUAUAAUUGCCUUUGGUACGCGACUGUUGGGAACUGGAGAAAAAAGGAUAAAGGGGAGUUAGAUGAAAGAAAACUAAUUCUUCAUUAUCCCCUCCUGGAAAACCUACAGCUGGGACCUUAGUCUAUUUGUAUUAAUGCUAACUUCAGUGUCAUGUUGUCUUUGAGCUCUCAUGUCUUAUAUUUUAAAAAUUUUGCUCACUGGAACAAAUAAGUUCAAGUAUACAAAUGUACUUCCCUCCUUUGCAAAUUAAACAUAUUUCUGGUAAUAAGGUGAAAGUUUAAGCAUUAACAUGAGUACUAACAUAAGAAAUAUUUUGCACAGAUAAAGUUACAGAUAUGCAUUCUAAUAUGUGAAAUUUCGUAAGGUAUAAAUCACAGAGAAAAAGUCAAAAUUCAUUUUGCUAAAUGUACUGAGACUGGAUGCCUGUACCUGAGCUAACCACUUUAAGCUCCCUAAUAGCCAAAGAAGAGCAACAGGCACUUCUAGGUCACAAUUUGUCAUUUACUAAAAAAGGCAUCUAAAGUAGGUCAGAUGAAUUGCUCCGAGAAUGGCUGUUAUUCUCUACCAACUAUAAAGGGAGAUCUGGUUGAUUAAUUCACAUUCAAUGUAGAUGUUUAAGGAAAAUAUGAUGAAUCUCAUUCAGUGAAUCCAGAAUGACUAUUAAAGGACCACAAAACAAAAUAAGAACACUUGUUUUCCUGAUAUGUAGAAACUGAGAAAGUUAGGCAGAAGUUAACACUGACUUUAGGUUCCAAACUAAUUUAGGAAUUUUGGAAUAUUUUAAUAUUGUUUAUUUCUGUGUAUUCCUAUUACAUACUACAAACUUCUUAACACUACAUUUUAAUCUUUUGAUCAUAUUUUCUUCCUUUAAGAACAAUGAAAACCUUCCCCAACCUUAGCAGACUUUUAUGAAUAUAAACCUAACAAAGCAAAGCAAUUCACCUUUUUGUCUAUUAAGAAAGUGCUGUACUACCAAUAGCUUGGGAAACAUAACAUUAAAGACUGAUCUGCUUACCGUCAUAACUUGAUUUCAGUGAAAGUGCUCUAUGAAGACUUUAUCAGAUGAACAGAAGAACUUCAAUCAAAAGUGUGUGUCUUGAAUCUUCACUUUUUGUGGAGAAAUAAUACUGUUCAAAUGUAAUUCUCUGUAGCUGUGACUGUUUCAAUACUGAAAAGAUUACUUCAUUAAAGAAACAAUAUGUUCAAAUGUGAAAAUGAAAAGAUAAUGGAAGAAGACUCUCAAUUAAAAAAAUUUUUGAAGUAGAUUCAAAAUCAGUGUGUGUAUCCAAUGAUCAUCUUAAAAAUAGAAUCUAAACAAAAAGAAAAUAAUAAUAAAAUAAAUAAUAAAUAAUAAAUAAUAAAAAUGUAAUAUAUAUAUUUAAGUUAUUUGCUGGAGA
ensembl:lncRNA